rnacentral:rRNA from 1 species
CCUACGGGAGGCAGCAGUGGGGAAUAUUGGACAAUGGGGGGAACCCUGAUCCAGCCAUGCCGCGUGUGUGAAGAAGGCCCUCGGGUUGGAAAGCACUUUCAGUGAGGAAGAACGCCUGGUGGUGAAUACCCAUCAGGAAAGACAUCACUCACAGAAGAAGCACCGGCUAACUCCGUGCCAGCAGCCGCGGUAAUACGGAGGGUGCGAGCGUUAAUCGGAAUUACUGGGCGUAAAGCGCGCGUAGGUGGCUUGAUAAGCCGGUUGUGAAAGCCCCGGGCUCAACCUGGGAACGGCAUCCGGAACUGUCAAGCUAGAGUGCAGGAGAGGAAGGUAAAAUACCAGGUGGAGCGGUGAAAUGCGUAGAGAUCGGGAGGAAUACCAGUGGCGAAGGCGGCCUUCUGGACUGACACUGACACUGAGGUGCGAAAGCGUGGGUAGCAAACCGGAUUAGAUACCCGUGUAGUC